AUUGAACGCUGGCGGCAGGCCUAACACAUGCAAGUCGAACGAGUGGCGGACGGGUGAGUAAUGUCUGGGGAACUGCCUGAUGGAGGGGGAUAACUACUGGAAACGGUAGCUAAUACCGCAUACCAUCAGAUGAACCCAGAUGGGAUUAGCUAGUAGGUGGGGUAAAGGCUCACCUAGGCGACGAUCCCUAGCUGGGCUGAGAGGAUGAACAGCCACACUGGAACUGAGACACGGCCCAGACGCCUACGGGAGGCAGCAGUGGGGAAUAUUGCACAAUGGGCGCAAGCCUGAUGCAGCCAUGCCGCGUGUAUGAAGAAGGCCUUCGGGUUGUAAAGUACUUUCAGCCGGGAGGCGUUACCGGCAGAAGAAGCACCGGCUAACUCCGUGCCAGCAGCCGCGGUAAUUC
rnacentral:rRNA from 1 species